CACGCAGUAAACGAUGAUUACUAGUUGUUUGCGAUACAAUGUAAGCGACUGAGCGAAAGCGUUAAGUAAUCCACCUGGGGAGUACGUUCGCAAGAAUGAAACUCAAAGGAAUUGACGGGGGCCCGCACAAGCGGAGGAACAUGUGGUUUAAUUCGAUGAUACGCGAGGAACCUUACCCGGGCUUGAAAUGCGGCGGACCGGCAGAGAGAUCUGCCUUCCCUUCGGGGCCGCCGUGUAGGUGC
rnacentral:rRNA from 2 species